GCUACGGGUGGCAGCAGUGAGGAAUAUUGGUCAAUGGGCGCGAGCCUGAACCAGCCAAGUAGCGUGAAGGAUGACUGCCCUACGGAUUGUAAACCUCUUUUAUAAAGGAAUAAAGAGAGGCAAGUGUCCCCUGAUGUAUGUACCUUAAGAAAAAGCAUCGGCUAACUCCGUGCCAGCAGCCGCGGUAAUACGGAGGAUUCGAGCGUUAUCCGGAUUUAGUGGGUUUAAAGGGAGCGUAGACGGGUUGUUAAGUCAGUGGUGCAAGUCGGCGGCUCAACCGUAACAUUGCAGUUGAUACUGGCAGUCUUGAGUACAGUAGAGGUAGGCGGAAUUCGUGGUGUAGCGGUGAAAUGCUUAGAUAUCGCGCAGAACUCCGAUUGCGAAGGCAGCUUACU
rnacentral:rRNA from 1 species